rnacentral:rRNA from 2 species
ACCUGCCUGUAAGACUGGGAUAACUCCGGGAAACCGGGGCUAAUACCGGAUAACUUCUUCGCAUGAAGAAGAAUUGAAAGAUGGCUUCGGCUAUCACUUACAGAUGGACCCGCGGCGCAUUAACUAGUUGGUGAGGUAACGGCUCACCAAGGCGACGAUGCGUAGCCCACUUGAGAGGGUGAUCGGCCACACUGGGACUGARACACGGCCCAGACUCCUACGGGAGGCAGCAGUAGGAUCUUCCGCAAUGGACGAAAGUCUGACGGAACAACGCCGCGUGAGUGAUGAAGGUUUUCGGAUCGUAAAACUCUGUUGGUAGGGAAGAACAAGUAUCGUUCGAAUAGGGCGGUACCUUGACGGUACCUAACCAGAAAGCCACGGCUAACUACGUGCCAGCAGCCGCGGUAAUACGUANGUGGCAAGCGUUGUCCGGAAUUAUUGGGCGUAAAGCGCGCGCAGGCGGUUUCUUAAGUCUGAUGUGAAAUCUUGCGGCUCAACCGCAAGCGGCCAUUGGAAACUGGGAGACUUGAGUGCAGAGAGGAGAGUGGAAAUUCCACGUGUAGCGGUGAAAUGCGUAGAGAUGUGGAGGAACACCAGUGGCGAAGGCGACUCUCUGGUCUGUAACUGACGCUGAGGCGCGAAGCGUGGGGAGCGAACAGGAUUAGAUACCCUGGUAGUCCACGCCGUAAACGAUGAGUGCUAAGUGUUAGAGGGUUUCCGCCCUUAGUGCUGCAGCUAACGCAUUAAGCACUCCGCCUGGGGAGUACGGCCGCAAGGCUGAAACUCAAAGGAAUUGACGGGGGCCCGCACAAGCGGUGGAGCAUGUGGUUUAAUUCGAAGCAACGCGAAGAACCUUACCAGGUCUUGACAUCCUCUUGACCUCCCUAGAGAUAGGGAUUUCCCUUCGGGGACAGGAGUGACAGGUGGUGCAUGGUUGUCGUCAGCUCGUGUCGUGAGAUGUUGGGUUAAGUCCCGCAACGAGCGCAACCCUUGACCUUAGUUGCCAGCAUUCAGUUGGGCACUCUAAGGUGACUGCCGGUGACAAACCGGAGGAAGGUGGGGAUGACGUCAAAUCAUCAUGCCCCUUAUGACCUGGGCUACACACGUGCUACAAUGGAUGGUACAAAGGGCUGCAAGACCGCGAGGUUUAGCCAAUCCCAUAAAACCAUUCUCAGUUCGGAUUGUAGGCUGCAACUCGCCUACAUGAAGCCGGAAUCGCUAGUAAUCGCGGAUCAGCAUGCCGCGGUGAAUACGUU